rnacentral:rRNA from 1 species
ACGUAGGGGGCGAGCGUUGUCCGGAUUCAUUGGGCGUAAAGCGCGCGCAGGCGGUUCGUUGUGUCUGUCGUGAAAGCCCCGGGCUCAACCUGGGAAUGGCGAUGGAAACUGGCGGACUGGAGUGUGGCAGAGGGGGGUGGAAUUCCGCGUGUAGCAGUGAAAUGCGUAGAGAUGCGGAGGAACACCGAUGGCGAAGGCAGCCCCCUGGGCUGACACUGACGCUCAGGCACGAAAGCGUGGGGAGCAAACAGGA